rnacentral:rRNA from 1 species
UUGAUCGCAAGUAANAGUUGGGUGGGCAAACUCAGGGGACAGCUUCAACUAUUCUUCUUCAAACUAGAGGAAGGUUGCGGCAAUAACAGGUCUGUGAUGCCCUCAGAUGUUCUAGGCUGCACACGUGCUACAUUGAUCAGCACAAUGCGAUACAUUUCGAAAGGAAACAUCGGUUUUAAGGUAACGUCGAUUGCCUACCGAUAGCACCUGGUCCCCAGUGGACUGGGCAAUCUCUUCUAAAUGCUGGUAAGGUACCCACACUCGAGCUAUUUAAUCACACGCGGGAGGCACACACGGUUCAAAUCUCAUUUGCGACUGUUGCCGCCAUGACGUAUGCAACUUGUCAAUUCUUCGUGGGGAUCGUCGAUUGCAACUAUUCGACUCGCCACAACUAGGAAUGCCUCGUACGGGUCUCGGUUCACCAUACCGCCCGG